rnacentral:rRNA from 1 species
AGUGAACGCUGGCGGUAGGCCUAACACAUGCAAGUCGAACGGCAGCACAGUAAGAGCUUGCUCUUACGGGUGGCGAGUGGCGGGCGGGUGAGGAAUACAUCGGAAUCUACUUUUUCGUGGGGGAUAACGUAGGGAAACUUACGCUAAUACCGCAUACGACCUACGGGUGAAAGCAGGGGAUCUUCGGACCUUGCGCGAUUGAAUGAGCCGAUGUUGGAUUAGCUAGUUGGCGGGGUAAAGGCCCACCAAGGCGACGAUCCGUAGCUGGUCUGAGAGGAUGAUCAGCCACACUGGAACUGAGACACGGUCCAGACUCCUACGGGAGGCAGCAGUGGGGAAUAUUGGACAAUGGGCGCAAGCCUGAUCCAGCCAGACCGCGUGUGUGAAGAAGGCCUUCGGGUUGUAAAGCCCUUUUGUUGGGAAAGAAAAGCAGCAGGUUAAUACCCUGCUGUUCUGACGGUACCCAAAGAAUAAGCACCGGCUAACUUCGUG